rnacentral:rRNA from 1 species
GAUGAACGCUGGCGGCGUGCCUAAUACAUGCAAGUCGAGCGAACAGACGAGGAGCUUGCUCCUCUGACGUUAGCGGCGGACGGGUGAGUAACACGUGGAUAACCUACCUAUAAGACUGGGAUAACUUCGGGAAACCGGCGCUAAUACCGGAUAAUAUAUUGAACCGCAUGGUUCAAUAGUGAAAGACGGUUUUGCUGUCGCUUGUAGAUGGAUCCGCGCCGCAGUAGCUAGUUGGUAGGGUAACGGCUUACCACGGCUACGAUGGGUAGCAGGCAUGAGAGGGGGACCGGCCACAGUGGGACUGAGAGACGGCCCAGACUACGACGGGGGGCAGGAGUGGGGAAUAUUGCAAAAUGGGAGGAAGCCUGAUGAAGCAACGCCGCGUGCGGGAUGCCGGCCUACGGGUUGUAAACAGCUGUCGCCUGUGAAGAAGCGUGAGUGACGGUAAUGGGUAAAGAAGCACCGGCUAACUACGUG